UACGAAGGGGGCUAGCGUUGUUCGGAAUUACUGGGCGUAAAGCGCACGUAGGCGGCGCGUCAAGUCAGGGGUGAAAGGCCUGGGCUCAACCCGGGAACUGCCUUUGAGACUGGCGUGCUGGAGUCCGGAAGAGGGUGGCGGAAUUCCCAGUGUAGAGGUGAAAUUCGUAGAUAUUGGGAAGAACACCGGUUGCGAAGGCGGCCACCUGGUCCGGUACUGACGCUGAGGUGCGAAAGCGUGGGGAGCAAACAGG
rnacentral:rRNA from 2 species